UAAAACAAAACUCUCUUCUCUCCUAAUCUAAAUUUCGGACCCCACAACCUCUAUAAAUAUCAGCCUCACUCGUUCUUCGUUUGAGUACAAGUACUGCAACACAAAUCGAGUACCUCAAUCCACUUACAAAGUCAUGGCCAACCCGCGAGCAGCUUGUUUUCUCAUCCUCCACUUUAUUACGUUGUUUUUGGUACAGUCUUGCAUGUUUAACUUUGCUAAUUCUGCAAUUCUCAACGUUACCACUGAUCAAUCUGCUCUUUUGGCCUUGAAAGAUCAUGUUUCUUAUGAUCCUCAUCAUGUUUUAACAAACAACUGGUCCACCUCUACUUCUGUUUGUAAUUGGGUUGGUGUCACUUGUGGUUCUAAACAUCUCCGAGUCAAAGCUUUAAACCUUUCCUACAUGGGCCUUGUUGGUACCAUUCCCCCGCACAUCGGGAACCUUUCGUUCCUUGUUAGUCUAAGCAUAAGCAACAACAGUUUUCAUGGCUCAUUGCCAACUGAGUUGUCGCGUCUUUAUCGGUUGGAAUCCUUAAACUUUCGAUACAAUGAAUUGGGUGGAGAAAUUCCAUCUUGGAUUGGGUUGCUAACAAAACUUCAAUUUUUGGAUCUAUCUGGUAACAAAUUCGGAGGAAUCAUUUUCAUGGUCAACUUCCGUCCACUUUGUACAAGUGUAAACAGUUACAAGCUUUAUCCCUUUCCGUGAAUAAUUUCAAUGGAAGGAUAUCUCCGAAAGUAGGGAAUUUAUCCAGGCUUACAACGUUAUAUCUUAGUCAGAACAACUUUGAAGGUCCAAUACCAAGUGAAAUUGGUAUUCUCCAGAAUCUCGAGUUUAUUACCACCUCAGAAAAUGGUUUUGUUGGCCCAAUUCCAUUCGAGAUCUUCAAUAUCUCAAUGAUACAAACUAUUUCAAUGGGGUUUAACAAAUUUUCAGGCCAUCUUCCAUCAGAUAUGGGCCUCUUCCUUCCAAAGUUCAAAAUACUCGGUCUUCCAGAAACUAAAUUGAGCGGAAGAAUUCCCAAUUCCAUCUCCAAUGCUUCACAGCUCACUCUCCUAGACUUGAGUCGUAACUCAUUGUCGGGCAUAAUUCCCGAAACAAUUGGUAAUUUAAGGUUCCUCGAGUGGCUCAACCUGGAAUUUAAUAAUUUGACCAUGGGAAGUCAAGAAUUG